CUACCCCUGGAUAACAACAGAUAAUUUCGGAAAUAAAUGUGACUUUGUAUGCUUUAAAUAAUUUACUCAAACUAUAUAUCUACAGUAAGAGAAACAGAAGUAAUACUACGUUUAUUACAUCGCAAUACCCCCCCCCCCAAUUGGGCCAGCGGAAUACUUGAGGGUUUAUAACCCGCCAAGUCAGGGUUCGAUAACAGGGGUUUAGUGAUGACUACUUUAUCAGGUUUUCACAUAGUGCCCAAAACGCCGUAUCAAGGCUAGACAGGAAGAAUUCAAGGAAACUAUUCAACAUGUCGUCAACACAUAACCUAAGUAUUUCUUUUAAAUACUAAUAAUAACUUUUAAAUGUAGAAGUAUAAAGAAAUGUUCGUCUAAAAACCCUCAAGUAUUGCCCCAUCUUGCAGUUUGGGCCUAAUACAAAAAAAAUCGAGAUUUUGUCAACAGAUACUAUUUCAACGAUGACUGUCCAACAAAAAGCACGAACCAUUCAUUAGUACACAUACUUCAAGUAUGUUGCUCUUUAACUAUCGAGCAAUGCAAUAUAAGCGAUGGUAUGAGCAGUUCAAAGACACAAGGUAAGAGUAUUCUCCGAGGAGCACUGAAAAAAACGAACGUUAGCGAAGAUGCUGCCCUCUCAGUAACUAAGACCUUUAAACAUUGCUAAGGGAAAUUUUAAGAUUUAAAAACACACGGUGAAACUCCUGCUGAUUGAGCAGGAAAAUAAGGCUGAACUCAUUAUGGACACUAUUUUCUCAACAGGAAAAUUAUGACUAUACAUUUUUCAUUUGGAUUAUCGUGUCCGAUGUGGCAACAGUCCAUCUGUGUGGAACAGUCAACAAACUUAACUAUCUUGCGUAGAACGUGCGAGACUCGUCAGAAACUAUUGUGUUCUAUUUCGCUAAUGAAAAUCUGUGGUCACUUUCCAUGAUAUGUUUCUGAAUCUCUGAAUUGGCCAUAUAAAACUAAUAUUCUGGACACUUUGUUAUCAACAUCUAGCAUCACUUGGCUUUUGACAGUGGGGUCAGAUCAUAUCUAUAGUUUUUGCCUCACGUCCAGAUACACAUGAUGAUCUCAAAGAUCGUAUAUCACGGGAAUAGACACCCGGAGAUGUGCACCAAGGGUAACAGGGGUUAUGUGGAGGUGGUACGAAACCUGAGGGAACUAAACUCUGGAAAAAGAUGGAAGACCCAAUCACUCAGAAAUGAUAAGCACAACGGACUUUGAAGGGAACAAAAUACGGUGUGAAUAUACAAUGUAAACAAUGUGAAAAGGAUGGAAGACCCAAUCACUCAGAAAUGAUAAGCACAACGGGCUUUGUAGGGAACAAAAUACGGUGUGAAUAUACACUCUAAACAAUGUGGAAUUACAACUCUAGAUGUGAAAAAAUACUUUUAAA